rnacentral:lncRNA from 1 species
AUGGAAACCUUUGUGUUUGAGAGCAAAGCUGUUUAUCUGCAUGAGAAAGAAGCCCAGCGUGGAAGCAAAGAAGGAAGUAUAAAGAACUUUAGUUAUGUUAUGGAAACCUUGUGUUGUAGUGCAGCCAUAUUAUUUUUCUAUAAAGAAAAGCUUCCAAAUAAUAAUAAUAAUAAUAAUAAUAAUAAUAAUAAUAAUAAUAAUAAUAAAAAUUAUGAUCUGCCAACUGCAAAAGGCCACCCGACUGGAAUCUGCGCACAUCAUCCGAAAAUACAUCACACAGUCCUAGACACUUGGGAAGUGUCUGACUUGUGAUUUUGUGAUACGAAAUCCAGCAUAUCUAUCUUGUUUGCUAUGUCAUAAUAAAAUAAUAACAAUAAUAUUUACUGUGUAACUUCAUUGUGAGAGGAGGCUCUGUGAGAGCGAAGCUCCUUAUCUGCAUGAGAAAGAAGCCCAGCGUGAAAGCAAAGAAGGAAGUAUAAAGAACUUUAUUUGUGUUUUGGAAACCUUGUUUUUGUAAGUAGUGCAACCAUAUUGUUUUGCUAUAAAGAAACACCUCCAAAUAACAACAACAACAACAACAACAACAACAACAACAACUUUAUUCUUAUAUCCCACCCCAUCUCCCCGAAGGGACUUGGGUAGCUCACAUGGGGACCAAGCCCAGCAAUACACAAUAAAAUGCAAUCGCAUAAAUACAUUUAAAACAUAUAAAGAUAACAUCAUAAAACAUAUUCUACACUAGCUGUGGCGAAGUAUGGUGGUAUGGGAAAUAAAGUAUUGAGGAAUUGGUGGUAGUUAAGGUAAAGGGUAAAGGUUUUACCUUACAUUAAGUCCAUUAUAAAUGGGUAAUAUAGCUAUGUGGAAGGGCCUUGAGUCUACACUGCCAUAUAAUCCAGUUAAAAUCAUAUAAUCUGUAUUUUAUAGGCAGUGUGGAAGAGGUCUGAGUGAGGCCUAACUCUGCCUGUCCCCUAGGCUGAGUGGGUUGCUAGGAGACCAAGUGGGCGGAGCUUAGCCUUCUAUCUGGCAGCAAUUGGAUAAAAAUAAUUAUUCCUCUCCCUCUAAUUAGGACUGUAUUUUUCUUUUCUUUUUGUUGUAUGAACGUAGAGGCAUGGAUGAGGGGUUGUGCUGCCAAGUUUAGUGUUUCUGGGAUGUGUCGUUUUGUUGUUUUGUCCUAGGCCGAAAUUUCAUUACCCUUUUAUAGAUAUAGAUUAAAACAUACUCAAGCAAUAACUACUAGUCGGGCACAGUGAACAUAUUCCAAAGG